AUUGAACGCUGGCGGCAUGCCUUACACAUGCAAGUCGAACGGCAGCACGGGUACUUGCACCUCGUGGCGGGUGGCGGGCGGGUGAGUGAUACAUCGGAACAUAUCCUGUAGAGGGGGAUAGCCCGGCGCAAGCCAGAUUAAUACCGCCUACGAACUACGGCUGAAAGCGGGGGACCUUCGGUCCUCGCGCUUUCGAGUUGGCCGAUGCAGGAUUAGCUAGUUGGUGGGGUAAGGGCCCACCAAGGCGACGAUCAGUAGCUGGUCUGAGAGGAUGACCAGCCACACUGGAACUGAGACACGGCCCAGACUCCUACGGGAGGCAGCAGUGGGGAAUUUUGGACAAUGGGCGCAAGCCUGAUGCAGCAAUGCCGCGUGUGUGAAGAAGGCCUUCGGGUUGUAAAGUACUUUCGGCCGGGAAGAAGUCCGUGGCGCUAAUACGGUCGGGGGAUGACGGUACCGGAAGAAUAAGCACCGGCUAACUACGUG
rnacentral:rRNA from 1 species